rnacentral:rRNA from 1 species
AGGAAUAUUGGUCAAUGGGCGCGAGCCUGAACCAGCCAAGUAGCGUGAAGGAUGAAGGUCCUACGGAUUGUAAACUUCUUUUAUACGGGAAUAAAGUGGUCCACGUGUGGAUUUUUGCAUGUACCGUAUGAAUAAGCAUCGGCUAACUCCGUGCCAGCAGCCGCGGUAAUACGGAGGAUGCGAGCGUUAUCCGGAUUUAUUGGGUUUAAAGGGAGCGCAGACGGGGGAUUAAGUCAGUUGUGAAAGUUUGCGGCUCAACCGUAAAAUUGCAGUUGAUACUGGUUCCCUUGAGUGCAGUUGAGGCAGGCGGAAUUCGUGGUGUAGCGGUGAAAUGCAUAGAUAUCACGAAGAACCCCGAUUGCGAAGGCAGCCUGCUAAGCUGUAACUGACGUUGAGGCUCGAAAGUGUGGGUAUCAAACAGGAUUAGAUACCCUGGUAGUCCACACGGUAAACGAUGGAUACUCGCUGUUGGCGAUAUACUGUCAGCGGCCAAGCGAAAGCAUUAAGUAUCCCACCUGGGGAGUACGCCGGCAACCGGUGAAACUCAAAGGAAUUGACGGGGGCCCGCACAAGCGGAGGAACAUGUGGUUUAAUUCGAUGAUACGCGAGGAACCUUACCCGGGCUUAAAUUGCAGACGAAUUACCUGGAAACAGGUAAGCCGCAAGGCGUCUGUGAAGGUGCUGCAUGGUUGUCGUCAGCUCGUGCCGUGAGGUGUCGGCUUAAGUGCCAUAACGAGCGCAACCCUCGUGGCCAGUUACUAGCAGGUAACGCUGAGGACUCUGGCCAGACUGCCAUCGUAAGAUGCGAGGAAGGUGGGGAUGACGUCAAAUCAGCACGGCCCUUACGUCCGGGGCUACACACGUGUUACAAUGGGAAGUACAGAAGGCAGCUACCCGGCGACGGGAUGCCAAUCUCCAAAGCCUCUCUCAGUUCGGACUGGAGUCUGCAACCCGACUCCACGAAGCUGGAUUCGCUAGUAAUCGCGCAUCAGCCACGGCGCGGUGAAUACGUUCCCG